rnacentral:rRNA from 1 species
UGGGGAAUUUUGGACAAUGGGGGCAGCCCUGAUCCAGCCAUGCCGCGUGAGUGAAGAAGGCCUUCGGGUUGUAAAGCUCUUUUGGCGGGGAAGAAAUGGCAACGGCUAAUAUCCGUUGUUGAUGACGGUACCCGCAUAAGAAGCACCGGCUAACUACGUGCCAGCAGCCGCGGUAAUACGUAGGGUGCGAGCGUUAAUCGGAAUUACUGGGCGUAAAGCGUGCGCAGGCGGUUUCGUAAGACAGACGUGAAAUCCCCGGGCUCAACCUGGGAACUGCGUUUGUGACUGCGAGGCUAGAGUACGGCAGAGGGGGGUAGAAUUCCACGUGUAGCAGUGAAAUGCGUAGAGAUGUGGAGGAAUAACGAUGGCGAAGGCAGCCCCCUGGGUUAGUACUGACGCUCAUGCACGAAAGCGUGGGGAGCAAAC